CAAAAUAUAGCUUAACCAAAGCAUCUCGCUUACACCGAGAAGACAUACGUGAAAAUCGAAUUAUUUUGA
rnacentral:tRNA from 1 species